CAAGUCCAGCCAGUCAGCAAGUUACCUGAAUUCACAGGAGUGACAUUUCCACGUUAUUCAAAUUCAAAACAAGCCUACUCAGUGAACCUGAGCCCCAAGGAAUUCACAGCGCUCUACAUCAACUCCCAAUUUGCAAUUCUAGGAGUCCAGGCUGGGAUUGGGAAGAGCACUUACCUGUGGUGAGCCCAGCCUCUGAAGACCUGGCUGCUCACCAUGUGAGCAAUGAAGUCAACCUCAUUAAAGGAAGUGAUUCGUGGUCCUGGCUCAGGAGAAGUCUAUGGAGUAUGGCCAUCAUCUGGGAAUGGAGCAAGUGUGUGAUGGGAAGAGUUUGGAUUGGAUUCAGACAAGAUUAUGG